rnacentral:rRNA from 1 species
AGAGACAGCAGCCGCCGCGGUAAUACGGAGGGUGCAAGCGUUAAUCGGAAUUACUGGGCGUAAAGCGCACGCAGGCGGUCUGACAAGUCAGAUGUGAAAUCCCCGGGCUUAACCUGGGAACUGCAUUUGAAACUGUCAGGCUGGAGUCUUGUAGAGGGGGGUAGAAUUCCAGGUGUAGCGGUGAAAUGCGUAGAGAUCUGGAGGAAUACCGGUGGCGAAGGCGGCCCCCUGGACGAAGACUGACGCUCAGGUGCGAAAGCGUGGGGAGCAAACAGGAUUAGAUACCCGGGUAGUCCCUGUCUCUUAUAC